rnacentral:rRNA from 1 species
AUCCUCACACAAAAUUGUGUACCUACCUCUGUUGCUUUGGCGGGCCGCGGUCCUCCGCGGCCGCCCCCCUCCCCGGGGGGGUGGCCAGCGCCCGCCAGAGGACCAUCAAACUCCAGUCAGUAAACGAUGCAGUCUGAAAAACAUUUAAUAAACUAAAACUUUCAACAACGGAUCUCUUGGUUCUGGCAUCGAUGAAGAACGCAGCGAAAUGCGAUAAGUAAUGUGAAUUGCAGAAUUCAGUGAAUCAUCGAAUCUUUGAACGCACAUUGCGCCCUUUGGUAUUCCGAAGGGCAUGCCUGUUCGAGCGUCAUUACAACCCUCAAGCUCUGCUUGGUAUUGGGCACCGUCCUUUGCGGGCGCGCCUCAAAGACCUCGGCGGUGGCGUCUUGCCUCAAGCGUAGUAGAACAUACAUCUCGCUUCGGAGCGCAGGGCGUCGCCCGCCGGACGAACCUUCUGAACUUUUCUCAAGGUUGACCUCGGAUCAGGUAGGGAUACCCGCUGAACUUAAGCAUAUCAAUAAGCGGAG